AACGAACGCUGGCGGCAUGCCUAACACAUGCAAGUCGAACGAGACCUUCGGGUCUAGUGGCGCACGGGUGCGUAACGCGUGGGAACCUGCCCUUAGGUUCGGAAUAACUCCCCGACAGGGGUGCUAAUACCGGAUAAUUUCCUCCAACCAAAGAUUUAUCGCCUUUGGAUGGGCCCGCGUUGGUUUAGCUAGUUGGUAGGGUAAAAGCCUACCAAGGCGAGGAUCCAUAGCUGGUCUGAGAGGAGGAUCAGCAACACUGGGACGAAGACACGGCCCAGACUCCUACGGGAGGCAGCAGUGGGGAAUAUUGGAAAAUGGGGGAAGGCCUGAUCCAGCAAUGCCGCGUGAGUGAUGAAGGUCUUAGGGUUGUAAAGCUCUUUUACCCGGGAUGAUAAUGACAGUACCGGGAGAAUAAGCUCCGGCUAACUCCGUG
rnacentral:rRNA from 1 species